AUGGGUGUAUUCCAGGCCCCUGCCCUUAGUGCCAUCAUGACCAGCACCAUAGGGAACAGGGUGACUAUAGGGAACAGGGUGACUAUAGGGAACAGGGUGACUAUAGGGAACAGGGUUAUUAUAGGGAACAGGGUUACUAUAGGGAACAGGGUUACUAUAGGGAACAGGGUUACUAUAGGGAACAGGGUUAUUAUAGGGAACAGGUUGACUAUAGGGAACAGGGUUAAUAUAGGGAAGCACUUUAUACUGUGUUUGGCCUCUGAUAGAAGCCUGGAACAAAGCUCUCUUCUGGUUGAUUCUCCUGAAUAAACCUGUUGCUACGUUGUUGCUAUAGUUUAACUUUGAUUGUUCAUCAGAACCAGUUCUAGAAUGGAUCUCAUCCUGAACCAUGUGCCUAUUUGGAAAUGUCCAAAUUCCAAGCCAAGUAAAAAUGGAUUGAUUAACAUGAUAAUAAUAUUCUUUAUUAAAUUAAAUCCUAAACGUUUGUCUACAGACAGGUGUUUAGAAUAUUUAACCUCUAGCUUGUUAGAACGUGUCCGUCGUGUUGGUUUAAUAUGGAGUUAAAAGAGAUUACUUUAGAUUCAGAGAGUAUUUAUUUAGAGUCCAUUGAGGCCUGGGCGAUGACAAUGUACCAGAUCCACCCUAGAGUGGUUAGAGUCUGGCAGGCGUCUGUAAUGUAGUCAACCUGGAACGCAGACACAAUUUCCACGCAGCGAGUUCAGAUUCUAAAACUUUAUUGUCCAUUCAGGGUAAAACAGUCAUCUGUCGCUGUCUCAUGGUCUUUGGCUGACUUCCUGUCUAUAACCUGUGUACUUCCUGUUCUGACCCAUAGUGUUCUGGUGUGGUUUGGAUGGUCAUGUGAUCUGAAAGAAGAGCCAUGUUUAGAGUGGACCGCUAGGAAAUAAAAUCAUAUUUUCACAGAUACUCUGUUUUCUGCUUCUGUCUCUGUGUCUUUUAUUUCUGGAACACAAAACAACAGCUACUGGAGAUCAUCAAUCACCCAUUACACCGACUGACCUACUAGAGUCUCAGAGGGAAUAGUGUGCAACCCCAAAUGGCACCCUAUUUCCUUUCUAGUGCACUACCUUUGACCAAAGGCCUAUAAGCCGUAGUCUAAAGUAGUGCACUAUAAUAUGGAAUAAGGUGCCAAUUGGGACACAUGCUAAUAUGACGAAGAGUAAAGUCCUGUCUUCACUGUGUUUGGCAGAGAAAGAGUUAACUCUGUCUGGCAUCACCGAUCAGACGCAGUUGAGUAGAUCGGUUUCUGCUCCGUGUGUUUAAGAGAGAGACAGGGAGAGAGACAGGGGGAGAGACAGGGAGAGAGAUGGAGAGAGAGAUGGAGAGAGAGACAGGGAGAGAGACAGAGAGAGAGACGGGGAGAGCGACAGGGAGAGAGACAGGGAGAGAGACAGGGAGAGAGACCCGUGAGAGAGAUGACAGGGAGACAGACAGGUAGACGGGGAGAGCGACAGGGAGAGAGAACGGGGAGAGAGACGGGAGAGAGAGAGGGAGAGUGACAGGGAGAGAGACAGGGAGAGACAGAAACAGAGAGAGUACGGAGGACGGGAGAGCCACGGGGGGAAGAGACAGGAGGAGAGCCACAGGGAGAGCCACAGGGCGAG
ensembl:lncRNA